AUACAGUAACUGAACCAUUGCAAAACAAAUCUUUCAGAUAAAAUUUAGCACAACUUACCUAGUCAAAAUUAAUACAAGCCUCCGGCAGAAUGAAUGGCUGAUUCCCCAAGCUUUGUGUGGGUUACAACAGUGAAAACAUCCAAAAUUAGAUAUGCUUUGACCCACAAAUUCAACCAAUGGAUAGAAAUUACAGAAUUUGAGCUGCUGUGUUCAACUUUUCUGCUAAGCUCAGCUGUGUCCUUGUGAUGCUUGACAAAUAUAGCAAGAGUAAGUGAUCCUGUAGGAACCAUGUGAAAGCAAAACCCAGAAAAGUCAGCAAAAAAAGCCAUUAAUGAUGAAGUAACUACAAAUCUACAACAAGAAAUUCAAAGAUAUGACCUCUCCAUAAUUAUAAUCUACAUACAAUACUAGGUCCAUCAUCAGAGAAUUUUCAAUUUUGGUAAUUCUGAUCAACCUAACAUUGCAUCAUUACCUGAAGACUAUCAUUCACUAGCUUAUCAAAGGCUGAUGGUGAAAGUUUGGGAAGGGAAGCAACAGUUUCAGAUAUAAACCGGCCUACGCUACUGUCUGCUGCGGCACGCCCUUCCUGUGGAAAACAAUCAUAUUAUCCCACAUGGCAAAAAGGUAAGAAUUAAUUAAAUGAGGCACCAAAUCUUACCACGACAUCAUCAACAUAUUUAUAGACAUCAUCAAUUAAGGCUAGUAGCCGCUGCAUUGAAGCUUCCAUUCCUUCCAAAUCACUUGGAAUUUUAUCAACCAUAGGUGUCUUAAGGAUGUCAACUACAGUUAUAAAAGAAAGAAAAAAAGCCUUAAUAACAUUGCAUCUGACACUAAAUGCAAUCUUAUACGUGCAACAUUAAAAUCUUUGGCUUUAUCAACAUUCAAUAGCACAGAACCAAAACAUCUAAUACUGGAUAUGAAAACAAUCACUGAAAGAAAAAAAAUGAAACAGCAAAUACUUAUAGCGAGAUAAAUCUAAUUUAGACACAAGAAAAUAAAUUAAAUACAGUUUGAUUUGGGAUAAAAGGAUUUGAAAUGGGGAGAUAUGAACUUGACAUUUAACUUAAAUUAGGUUUGGUUGGCUUGGAUCCAGCGGGCUGAAGCUUGUUUAAGGGUGAGGCAUGAACAUCUACAAAGAAGGCAGAAUUUUAAGUCUAUAGUUGUAUAAUUUGGACUAGACUUAAAUUCAUAUCAUUGAGUUUAAAGCCAUCCAUCAAAACCUAGCUUGACCUUAUCAAUAGAGUCCAGUAACUGUUGCAUUAGAAUGAUAUCUUUACAUUAUGAAAGAUGAAUAUUUCAUAUUGAAAAACAACCAAAAAGGAAUCUUAUAAUCAAUAGAAAAGUCUGCAGCCAGAGAAACACACACACAGAUAUAUUAUUCUAGUUUCACAGGCUAUUAUAAACUACACCUACAUAUGGAACUCAAAUUUGUUAGCCAAAUUACUGCAACAAUUACUUUCAUAAUUUGUUAGCCAACUUACUGCAACAAUUAAGAGCCUUGCCUAACCACAAAGCCUUCGCCCAACAUCAACAGAAGCAUAAUGAAAGUAAAGGGGGGAAAACAUGCAAGACCACAAAAGCCUAAGACUCCUAGUCAGAGUAGAACAGGGAUAACAUUUGUAAGUGAAAAUUUUAGUAGAAGAAAGAAAUUUUCAGAAUAUACAUACAUCCAACUCGCUCAGCUUCAACCAUGCGAAGAUCAACAGGAAUUUCUUGAAAUUGUGCAGCAAGCUGACGGUCUCCAAGAGACAAAUUAACAGAAACAUACGCUUUAAUGGUACCCCCUCCAUUCCUGAACCCUGUAUCCACUGUUAGAUGAAUGGGAUUGGGAACUUCUCUAGAAUAGAACUCAUGGAUCAAUGCACUUCCACCAGUGACCCCUAAUCCUGUUGAAUACCUGAAACCAAGUACUAAAGCAUGAAAAUGGAGCAUCUGUCUACAAAACACUUCUGAAAACAUAAAAUUUUAUUUUGAAAAUAUUCAUAUUUCAUAAAAGCUGCAUAGCCAUAGCUUGGUAGCUUAGGGAAGGGCUUUCCAACCUCAUCAAAUGCAGUGAUUCAAACAAAAUAUAGUACAGUAUGACCAAAAUUAAAGAAAAAAAAAAAGAGAUUUCAUUACUAGAGUUUACAAGGAAAAAAGAACCUUCUGCUGCAGUUUAUUGACAAUGAAAAUAUAAAGCAAACAAAAAUGAAGAUGAAAAUACCAUCAACAAAAUAUAGAAUGGUAAGACUCAUUACUAGAGUUUACAAGGCAACAACAACCUUCUAUUGCAGUUUAUUAACAAUGAAAAUACAAACCAAACAAAGAUGAAGAUGAAAAAUACCAUCCAACAAUAACUUCCUUAGGGUUCACUUUCUGGUGAGACAGCAACAUAUUAUGAUGGUAAUCAAUAUCUAGAGCAACCUGCAGCUGACACAUAAUUGAAAGAUGAGAAAAAGAGGAAAGACUUAAGAGAAGUUCAUGCUCAUAGCUCCAUUUUUUUUCAAUCCGUUAAAUAACAUGUAGUCGGUUCCACACAUACCAGAUUGGUCAGAAAUUUGAAGUUCUAGAAUUAAAUGAUAAAAAAGAAAAAUAGAGCUCAUAAGUGUUCAAGCUCUUCAGCGUCUCAUCCAACAUUCCAAAUUUCAGUUACAAAUAGCAUAAAUUUAGUAAAAUUCCUCAAAUUUUUCCUACUUACUAAGCUAGUCUUCUAGAUUCCUGCUAAGCAUGUAUCACCUCUGUGGAUUCAUUCAUAAGUCUAGCUUUUCAAACUAGCGUAAAACAAGCAUUAGCAAUGACGGAAACCUCUCUAAACAUGGAUUACAAAACUUUUUAGCUAUGAAGACACCGUUUCAUUCAAUUGGAAGUCAUCAUUACAAGUCACAAGCAACAAAAAAAAAAAAAACAUUCCAUAAUUAUCUUAAAAAAUGAAGCCAUUACCUGAUCAGAGAAUUCAUUGUGAGGUACAGCGUAUGAAUUUCGAAUGUCGACGGUGCCAUCUGAUAGGACGGAUCCGAGAAGCGUGCCAAUGACACGCUCGGCCUGGUCAGGCCGCCUCACGUAGCAAUCGCAGAUGUUGAAGAUCACCAAAGGGUGGACCUUCGCCGACAAGGUCGACGAGGAUGAAGUUGGGGAUAACUGAAGGACAGUGUGCUCGCUCGCCGCCAUUCUUCGAUCUUGAUGGAGCCGCGAGAGACAGAGCACUAGGGUUUUUGGUAAGGGAGGGGAUGAGAAAGCUUCAGUUGUUUUUGUUUUAUUGUUAUUGGGCUACGAAUAAAGAAUUAAUGGGCCGGAACUACCCAAACUGAGCUUUUAGAAAAGUCCAAUGUUUUACCUAAUAAUUUUAGAGAACCACUACAAUACUUGCAUCAAUAUUCUUGUGCAUGUCUACUUAGCAACGGAUAGGUUAUUUUUAAAUACUCAAACCGAGAGAAUCUUAAUAAAAUAAAUUUAAAUAGAUAUAAUUAGAUUUAAUAUGAAUUUAAAUUUAAAAAAUAAUAUUUGUUAUAGAUUUAAAUUGAAUUAAUUUUAUGUAUAGAAUAUUUGUAUAUAAAUAAUUUAUUUAAUAUAAAAAAUAUAUUUUAUAAUAAUAUUUAUAAUAUUUUUAUAUUUUAUUUAAAUAAUAAUAAUUAAAUUUAGAUAAUUUAAAUUAAUUUUUAAUCAAAUUCUCAAUAAAUUCAAAUAUUAUUAUAAUAAAUCUAAUUUAAAUUUUAAUAAUUUAAUAUUUGCGUACUUUUUUUUCAUAAUCCACGAUCAACCUUUGCUAACUUGUAUGGAAGGAUUCCUCCAUGAUUAACCUUUGCUAACUUGUAUGGAAGGAUUCCUCCAUGAUUUUCAGUGAGUUAUCAAAUGUUGUUAUAUAUAUAUUCGAUUAAUAAAUAAUAAAUAUUUUAUAAAAUUAUAAUAUUUAAUAAAUAAAAUAAAUUAUUUUUUAAAAAUUUUAUAUACAUUUUAAUAUAUUUUUAAUAAUUAAAAAAAUUAGCUAAUAAAUUUUUUAUAUCAUAUAAAUUAAAUAAUGAUUUUUUUAUAAAAUUAUAAAAUAUAUUAAUAAUUUUUAUGUACAAUAAUUUACAUUAAAUAUUCAAAAUUAUAUUAUUUAGGUAUUAAGUUUCUAUUACCUUAUUACUUUACAUAGAAUGCUUAUAUAAAAUAUUUACUUGAUUAAUUAUACAAUUUCUCAUACGAUUAAAUGGUUUUUUUUUUCAAGUAGAGUAAUCAAUUUUAUUUCAAUAUGUCUUUGCAGAAUUAGUAUGGAAAAUUUAAAAUAAUUUUUAUUAAAAAUAAAUUUCAUGUGCUGUUGUUAAUAAAUAAAUAAAUUUAAACAAGCAUUAAUAAAAUUACAUGUGAGUAAUAUCCCGCACGGUUACUAUCGUCAAUAACCGAUCAAUAAAUUGUUUGAUUUGAUGAUAAGAGCUGCCAAAAACUGCCAAACGUUGACCAUCUAUUUAUAUAUGUUUUAGUCAAUGUUUUUUAUAAAAAUAAAUUGAAAACAAAUAAAUUUAUUUUAUUUUUUUUAUUUGACUUUUAUACGGGGAUUUCAUCACUCUUGUAAUUCUCAUAUUAAUUGGAAAGUUUAUAAAAUGCUCUCAAUGCCUUGAUUUUUUGUUCUCCAUAUUUAUAUAUUCUUGGAUAAGUUUGUAAAGCUGGAAUCUAUAUGAAAAUAAUUUUGAUAAGAAUUGAAAUUUAUUAUUUAUUUUUAAUCUCAACCAUUUAUUAUAUAUAUUUUAAUUAAUUUUAUAUAAAUUUCAGUACAACCAUUAUUAAAUUUAUUUAUAAAUAAAAUCAAUUUUAUAUCAGAACAUUUGAGGCAUGCAUGGGUUUGCGACAACAACAAGUCCCUUGAGCGACUAUGUGGACAUAAGAAAUUUGAAAUAAAAAUCUAUGUCAAUAAAGCAAUAAAACCACAACAUGAGCAACCAAAACCAAAUUAAAAUGGAAAAGAAUUCAGUUACACGCAAAUAUUAACCCUAACUCUGGAAGAAUUCUGCAACAUGCAAACAAUGCAAAUUUCAUUAUUUCUCUUAUUAUAAAGGAAGAACUUUCACAUUAAGUUUCUAUAAAUCCUAUCAACCAAAGAAAAGCCUCCAACUGAGAGCAAAACGAUAUCAAACUCAGCGAAACAUCAAAGACAAAUUAAUUCAAUUUCUUUGGACAUUAAGUCCACAGCCACAGAUUCCUAACUAAGAUUAAAAUGGAUAUUUGAAAUUUUCUUCUUUAUUUCCUUUCUCCCCUUCUCCCAAUAGAGAUUGAAAGGAUAGCUUCAGGCAUAAUAUAUAUGUGUACAUGUGUGCACACAAGGACACAAAAAAAAGGAAAUAUAACAACUCUGAAAACUCAUAAUUAGACCAGUAAAUAGUACAAAAUCUCAUGGUUUAGUGGUAGCUUUCCAUCCAUAACAAGGUCAAGAUAACUGCGUAUUUCUCUAAGUCGAGCAUCCAACCCUUUCAAAACAGUGAGUUUCCCAGACACCUGCAUGGACAAACUGAAAACUUAGGUUCCUCCCAGAAGGAGGAGCUGAAAAACAUCCGCACAGAAGUGAGAAAUGAAAGAGAAAAAACUGAGAACAUUCAAAAUCAAGACCUCAGUUGCGAGGGUGCUAAUAGAGGCGUCCUUCACAUCCCUUAGCAAAUGUUCCACUCCUGUUAAAGUAGCACAAGGGAAUUAAAAGCAGUUACAGAAUAUCACGUUGAACUGGCAUGCUAUAGAAGCUAUUUCCAUUCUAUUUUAUCAACAAACAAAAAAAAAAAAAACACUUUUUUUUCAAAUGGCAUACCAAUUUCCUCAACUUCAUGAGCAGCAAUUUCUGACGGCACAUGCACAAACACCUUUUGGCUUUUCUGGGUGGCAUUUUAUAACCAUCCACAACCAUCAGUUAAUGCCCAAGAGUACAUACCAUCAGUUAACCUCCAAGCAUAUGUGAUGCAUGGAGGCAGUAUUAUAAAUAAAGAACGGCUGCAUCACUUUUUCAGACUCAUUUUCUACAUAUGACAACUCGUUUAAAACCAACAUAAUAAAUAGAUAUUUUCGCUUCACUUUACUGAAAUCAUAUUCUUACCUCUUUCCUCUUCGACUGCACAGUAAGUUUUUGUGGGAAUUCCCAGCUCCACUGGUUGGACAUCAAUUAUGACCAAGACAGGAUUUGAAACAUAACUGCAACCGCAAACAAAAACUUAUAAUAAAGCAGCAAAAUAAAUAAUAAAGCAAAUCUGAGCAGAAAAGAUCAAAUUAAAAAUAGAUUUAUUUUGCCAAGAGGCAGAGAGUCCAAGUCAGAGAUGGUCUAUUUCGAUCAAGAAACAGGUCGAAGAACUCGAUAUAUUGCAGGUGAUGAUCUUACUCAUUAAGAAGUCCAUGAAUAUCCAGGUCAUUUUCCCUCAGUUUUGGACCUGUACUAUACCAACCCACCACAUGCUCCCUGGCUGAAAAAACAAUUUGCUAUCUUCAUAAUAUCAAAGUCUCCAGAGAAAGAAAUGCAAUAUAAAAAAUACUGUCUGAGACAAUACCAUUUAUUCUUUUGAACAUAGAAAACAUAGACUCGUGAUAAUUGUGGUCAAGAAACCAGAUGCUUGGGUCCUUAUCAUCUUCUUCAAAGGGCACUGAGAAAUUACAAUUCAAAUAUUGUAUGAGCUUCAAACAAAGUUCUUUCCCACAUUAGAACCCAAUUGCAUUAUUUACACACAAUGAUCUAUAACCCAUUAUAACCCACAAAAGAAUUUUCAAACACAAAUUGAGGGAUCAAAAGCAAAAGAGAUCUAGAAAUUGAACAGAAAGAGAAAAAUGAGUUGUACCUGCAUAGCUGUUAGUGACAUCAACGGCGCCUUUAAAAGAAGAACCAAGCAAAACACCAACAACGCGUUUGCGAGUAUCCUUAGCGACUCUGUUGUAGUUAUCGACGAUACUCAGGAGAACCAGUGGGUGCACUAUUACCUUCUCUAUCGGUCUCGACGAUAUUUGCUGCGUCUUUAUCACAUCCAUUCCUGCCUCUCGUCGAUGAUUCAACUCUCCAAACUCAAAAGUUUCAAUACCUAUCUGCUCCCAAUUCUCUGGAUUUCGGAUUAUGGGUUUUGGAGUUCGGUUGCUUCUUCCCCACGAAAUCUUUUUCUAUUUGCUUUUCAGCUUUCACUUGCUUGCUCUUCUCUUCUGUGAUUCGGCUGUUGGUGGUUUAUGGUUUCUUGGGCCCAUGUUUUCAUGACUGGGCCUUAUUUGGAUGCAGCCCAAUUUUUGGAAGUGUCAGGCAUUUUGGGCCGAGAUUGAGCCCAUUUUAAACAUUGGGCCCCUGGGUGGCUCUGUUUAUGAAAUUUUGUUUGUGGAGCUAAGAUGAAAUUGCAAUGGAAAGAAACUUUUCUUUUUGUAAUGGUUUUGUUUGAGUAUGAAAAUUUGGAAGAGGGAUUUUUAUUUCAUUGAGUUGAUCUACUUAGAUACACAUAUGCACAUAUAGGGUUUUGCUUUGUGCUUUUCUAUAAAGUGUGCUGUUGCCACUUAAUACCUUUAAAUAUGUAAAUUUUUUGUCCCAAUUUUGGCUACGUAAUUAUAUAAAUUUUUAAAGGGUAAUUUUGGAGAUAUAGUAAAAGUAAUUAGCAUAUAGUGUUUGUGAUGAUUAUGGAUAUAGUAUUAGAAUAGAGUAGUUGGCCAUAAUAAGUCCAAAACAAUUAGGACAAAGUGAAAAAUCCAAGCAAUGUUUUUAAACCUAAUUAAUAAAAGAAGAAGAAGAGAAUAGUUUCAAAAUGAAUGGUAAAAGAGAAGAUUGAUACAAGUGAAAGUCAAAGUUGAGAUUGUCUGAUUAGGGUUGGAGGGUUGUGAUCUGAAAUACAGACAAAGAUACUGAGUUUAGUUGACUAUUGAUAGAGGUCAGUGAAAUAGAAGUUGGGCAAUAGCUUCUGUUAAGGACAUGGGAACAUAAACUACAAGACAAUAAAGCCACCAAUUUGAGAUUUUGGAGAGAAAUAGACAACUCAUGACCAGCAAAAAGAGAGGCAGCUUCUUGUAUUGUAUUUUCUUAAGUCAUGUGGCUCUUCUAUCAUUUGCCAACUAUCAUCACUUUUUAUUUAAGUCUUCAGCUUUCUCUUUAUCCUUUAUAAGCUGAAAAUUAUGAUAUAUUGUAGAAAGGAGAGAGAGAAAGAGCGUUAGAAGUAAGGGUGUUUAUUUUGUUCAUCGGCGGAAAAGACUUCGACCUUCAGGUCUCCUCUUCUCUUGCUGAUUUUUAUUUUCUUUUAUCUCUGUUGUUUCUAAUUACAGCAGAAAAAAUAACAAUCGAGUUUGAUUUGGUGUUGAUGGCUUCGCAAUGGCUGGGAGCGCGGUGCCGGUAAAGGUGGAUUGUUUUUGACAGGUUCAAUUCUUGCAUGGCACAUGAAUUCCUUAGAACGGGAGCACCUUUUAGAUUUGGACUUAUAACGUCUACUAAAUUUAGCAGAUCUUGGCUUGCUUUUUAAAUUUAUAUCUUCUUUUAAUUGACUCUAUAAACUUUUAAUACAAUUAAAAUUACAUGAUAAGAAGAAAAAAUAACCUGAAAAUUUAAGAAAUAUGUUAGUGUUAAUAACUAACUAUUCAUUCAAUUUUUUUUUCUGUUACGAAACAUAAUAGAAAAUAGAGCUGUCUAAAAUUUAGGCUAAGUUGCUUCCACUUCCUUCAAUUCCCGAGGAUGUCCUAUCUUCUUUCUACCUUAUUUAUUAAUGAAUUUUUGUCUCUUACCACUUUGGCUCUAUUGUGCUGAAUUGUUCCAACUCCUAGCUAUUUCAUUUGCUUCUUUACCUAGUCAAAAUUAAUACAAGCCUCCCGCGGAAUGAAUGGCUGAUUCCCCAAGCUUAGUGUGGGUUACAAACAGUCAAAACAUCCAAAAUUAGAUAUGCUUUGACCCACAAAUUCAACCAAUGGAUAGAAAUUACAGAAUUUGAGCUGCUGUGUUCAACUUUUCUGCUAAGCUCAGCUGUGUCCUUGUGAUGCUUGACAAAUAUAGCAAGAGUAAGUGAUCCUG
rnacentral:lncRNA from 1 species